UUGGCUUUGGCUGAGUCUCACUCUCACGCGGUGAUCCACGUGAAGUGCACUCAAAUCUUUACCUUCAGAGACACCCUCCACACGGCUCUCCGAUCGAGGUAAGGUAUAUCUGAUUCUGUGCCCCCUCUCUUAGGUUGGUCCACAGAACCUCCACUAAAGGAAUUAUGGAUUAUUUUAUCUACUACCUAAUUUAUAAAAUCUUUAUCUGCAUGACAUGGUAAUUUAUCGCAACCUAGCCUCUCAAGGCUAAAUACACAGUACAAAUAAUUCUAACACCAAAAAUCAAUUUAGCCAUUCAUGCUCAUAUAUUGUCAUAAGCCAUUCAAUUUAAAACCAUAAAUUUACAACACAUCAAGUGGUCUCCAAUUACUCUAUUUUCAAAACCAUAAUUCAAUUUCAAGACAAUUUAUAAAAUCAUUUUAUUUAAACACAUUUUACUUAUAAAACAUAAGGAUUUACCAUUAAACUCAUUUUCCAUAAAAUCACAAAAUCGGAUAAAAACCACUCUAGAUAAUUAAGAUGAUAGUAAGGUUACUCACUGUUUUCGAGAAUCAACUCGAGUACUCCGACUAUAAAUUCUUGGGUGCGACUUCCUUGCCUUUACCAGAGGGCUCACCACCUUGACAAAUUGCACAGUAAUUUAAUCACUGCAUUUGUGCUAAUUAGGUAUAAAAUUAACCUAAUUUCUACAUGAAUGCAUGGAAUGCUCGAUCAACCGCUUAAACGUGAUGUUGACCUAAUUCGGCCUAUCACCCGAUUAAAUUACUAACGCGUCCAAUUUAAUCCCAAAUUACUCCAUUUCUUUUCUAAUACCUCAAUUCACCAAACAUUAUUCAAAUAACACCAAUUUCAGCAUCAAAACCCUCCCAUUUCUUCAUGGAAAAAUUCGGCCAUUACAGUGCACUAACACCGUGAUUUUUCUUACUUAAUUUUCUCACCAUUAUUCAUCAUUUUCUAAGCCAUUUCUCUUGAAAUAAUAAUAAUCCAUCACCCACACACAUCAAGGAAGAUUCGGCCAAUGAAGAUUCAUGGGGAAAAUGGAUUCUUUUCUUGUUGUUUUGCUUGUAAAUAUGCUAAACUAACUUUAAUCACUAACAUAACUUAAAAUCAAACAAUUCCAACAUCAUUUCUCUCACCAUACCCAUUUGGCCUACCACUUAUUCACUAUGAAAUCAUGCUUCUCAACCAUAGAAAUAAGAAAAUAAAGCAUGGGUAUUGUAAAUCUCAAGUAAAAAUAAAGAAUUUUCACUUUACCUUGCUUAAUUCCUUGGAUUUUCACACUUUCUCUUGAAUUUUCCUUGGCUAGGGUUUGUUUUCUUUAUUUUCUUUCUUUCCUCUCUUGUUUUCUUGCUU
rnacentral:lncRNA from 1 species